CCAGUCCUCUGUCUCUCUGUUCAUUAGUCUGUGUGUGUGUGUGUUUCAGUCCAGUCCUCUGUCUCUCUGUUCAUUAGUCUGUGUAUUUCUGCCCCCGUUUCUCUGUGCUUUGUCGGAUCGUCUCUCUGUUUUGUCUGGUCGAAGUCCUGUACGUAAGGCCCAUGAUGGAGCCUAUCGCACACUGCCCUACUGAGAUCCUAUAGAUAACCAACCGCCAGGAGGAAGCACUCACUUUAAAAAGCUUUCUUCAUUUUCUACCCGGGGACUUCAUCUUCAAGGAGUAAGCUAAAAGUGAUUUAAAUGUGCCACUGGGGGAUGAUGAUGUUUGGACAAGCACAGAUGAAGUGAUGCACGGAGCACAUGCAGAUAGAGAGAGAGAGAGAGAGAGAGAGAGAGAGAGAG